CGGCACCUCAAGUGGUCAGGAUGAUUAUUGGGCCUAAAGCAUCCGUAGCCGGCGCUGUAAGUUUUCGGUUAAAUCUGUAUGCUCAACAUACAGGCUGCCGGGAAUACUGCAGCGCUAGGGAGUGGGAGAGGUAGACGGUACUCGGUAGGAAGGGGUAAAAUCCUUUGAUCUAUUGAUGACCACCUGUGGCGAAGGCGGUCUACCAGAACACGUCCGACGGUGAGGGAUGAAAGCUGGGGGAGCAAACCGGAUUAGAUACCCGAGUAGUCC
rnacentral:rRNA from 1 species